rnacentral:rRNA from 1 species
UCUAUUGCGGAGGAGGCGGGGGUGGUAAUGCGGAGGGGGCUGGGGUUGUUGGGAAUGACUGGGGUUAAGGCGCCAGUAUGCGGCUUUGUAAGUGAGAUGUGAAAGCCCGGGGCUCAAGUCCGUAAUUGCCUUUAAGACUGCAUCGCUAGAAUUGUGGAGAGGUAAGUGGAAUUCCGAGUGUAGAGGUGAAAUUCGUAGAUAUUCGGAAGAACACCAGUGGCGAAGGCGACUUACUGGACACAUAUUGACGCUGAGGUGCGAAAGCGUGGGGAGCAAACAGGAUUAGAUACCCGAGUAGUC